UACAUGGGGUGCAAACGUUGCUCGGAAUUAUUGGGCGUAAAGCGCGCGUAGGCGGUUCGGCAAGUCGGAUGUGAAAUCUCCACGCUCAACGUGGAGGGGCCAUUCGAAACUGCCGUGACUCGAGUCCGGUAGGGGAGUGCGGAAUUCCCGGUGUAGCGGUGAAAUGCGCAGAUAUCGGGAGGAACACCGGUGGCGAAGGCGGUUCUCUGGGCCUUACCUGACGCUGAGGAGCGAAAGCGUGGGGAGCGAACAGG
rnacentral:rRNA from 1 species